rnacentral:rRNA from 1 species
GAUGAACGCUGGCGGCGUGCCUAAUACAUGCAAGUCUAGCGAACGGACGAGAAGCUUGCUUCUCUGAUGUUAGCGGCGGACGGGUGAGUAACACGUGGAUAACCUACCUAUAAGACUGGGAUAACUUCGGGAAACCGGAGCUAAUACCGGAUAAUAUUUUGAACCGCAUGGUUCAAAAGUGAAAGACGGUCUUGCUGUCACUUAUAGAUGGAUCCGCGCUGCAUUAGCUAGUUGGUAAGGUAACGGCUUACCAAGGCAACGAUGCAUAGCCGACCUGAGAGGGUGAUAGGCCACACGGGAACUGAGACACGGUCCAGACUCCUACGGGAGGCAGCAGUAGGGAAUCUUCCGCAAUGGGCGAAAGCCUGACGGAGCAACGCCGCGUGAGUGAUGAAGGUCUUCGGAUCGUAAAACUCUGUUAUUAGGGAAGAACAUAUGUGUAAGUAACUGUGCACAUCUUGACGGUACCUAAUCAGAAAGCCACGGCUAACUACGUG